UGGGGAAUUGUUCGCAAUGGGCGCAAGCCUGACGACGCAACGCCGCGUGGAGGAUGAAGAUCUUCGGGUCGUAAACUCCUGUCGAGUGGGAAGAAUAGUUUCCGGGCGAAUAUCCCGGGAGCCUGACGGUACCACUAAAGGAAGCCCCGGCUAACUCCGUGCCAGCAGCCGCGGUAAUACGGGGGGGGCAAGCGUUGUUCGGAAUUACUGGGCGUAAAGGGCGCGUAGGCGGCCUGCUAAGUCGAACGUGAAAUCCCCAGGCUCAACCUGGGAACUGCGUCCGAAACUGGCAGGCUUGAAUCCGGGAGAGGGAUGUGGAAUUCCAGGUGUAGCGGUGAAAUGCGUAGAUAUCUGGAGGAACAUCGGUGGCGAAGGCGACAUCCUGGACCGGUAUUGACGCUGAGGCGCGAAAGCCAGGGGAGCAAA
rnacentral:rRNA from 1 species